GAUUUGGAGUUACAAUGGGAUGACAUUUUAAGCGAAUGGGCCCUACACAGGAUUUCAAGCCCCGCAAAAGAAAGCAUUCCGUUAGUUCAUAUUCAAGCACUGACAAAAAGACAGAUGACGAAUUCUUCGAUGCGUUGCACGAGCUGGACAUUGAAGAAAUACAAAACAAGACGGGCGACAUAGGAUUUGGGGAAGAAUUCCUAGCCGAUUUGGAGUUACAGUGGGAUGACAUUUUAAGUGAUUGGGAAACUAUGCAGGAUGUCACACCAAGGAAAGAAAGCGCUCCGAUAGUUCCCACGCAGCCGAGGACAAAGAGACCCGUCCCUCGAGGGAAAUACAGCCUUGGACGUCCCAACUAGACAUUCCUGAGCCGACAACUUCCCACGCGGAUAACUUACAGCUGGGUUAUUACAAGCCUAAAGGCACGCUAAAACGAGCAACACAUCGCAAAAGCACCAAGGGUAAAGGGAAGGGAAAACGCUCGGCGAUAGCGCAACAGAAGGCACA